rfam:Schistosoma haematobium scaffold207_7, whole genome shotgun sequence.
AUCUAGUUGAUGAGUCCCAGAUAGGACGAAAUUUAAGUCCUCAAU